GUGACAGCAGCCGCGGUAAUACAGAGACCUCAAGCGUUAUCCGGAAUCAUUGGCGUAAAGCGUACCGAUAGGUGGUUAUACAAGUCAAAAGUGAAAUCUCCGAGCUCAACUCGGAAUCUGUCUUUUGAAACUGUAUGACUGGAGGGGCAAAGAGGAAGCUGGAACGAACGGUGUAGUAGUGAAAUGCGUUGAUAUCGUUCGGAACACCAAUAGCGUAGGCAGGCUUCUGGGUGCCACCUGACACUGCUAGGACGAAAGCGUGGGGAGCGAAUGGGAUUAGAAACCCUUGUAGUCC
rnacentral:rRNA from 1 species